GCGAGCGGUCCGAGCGCGCUCCAUGCUCGUGGAAAAGCGCUGGGCGAGGGACGGCUGCCUGCCACCCUGGUAACGAGCCCCCUCGCGGUGAGCGCUGGUCUCCUUCGGCUCCUGGGCCUGGUUCGGCGGUGGCUUAUCGCUCAUGAGGACACCUCUUCACCAAGGAUUCCGGUCGGUUUGAACAGCAGAACAAGGACCAACACUACGAAUGCCGUGACGUUCACCCAUUGGGU
rnacentral:misc_RNA from 1 species